rnacentral:rRNA from 1 species
CCUACGGGUGGCAGCAGUGAGGAAUAUUGGUCAAUGGACGAGAGUCUGAACCAGCCAAGUAGCGUGAAGGAUGACUGCCCUAUGGGUUGUAAACUUCUUUUAUAUGGGAAUAAAAUGUUCCACGUGUGGGCUUUUGUAUGUACCACAUGAAUAAGGAUCGGCUAACUCCGUGCCAGCAGCCGCGGUAAUACGGAGGAUCCGAGCGUUAUCCGGAUUUAUUGGGGUUAAAGGGAGCGUAGGUGGAUUGUUAAGUCAGUUGUGAAAGUUUGCGGCUCAACCGUAAAAUUGCAGUUGAAACUGGCAGUCUUGAGUACAGUAGAGGUGGGCGGAAUGCGUGGUGUAGCGGUGAAAUGCUUAGAUAUCACGAAGAACUCCGAUUGCGAAGGCAGCUCACUGGACUGCAACUGACACUGAGGCUCGAAAGUGUGGGUAUCAAACAGGAUUAGAUACCCUAGUAGUC